rnacentral:rRNA from 1 species
GAUGAACGCUGGCGGCGUGCCUAAUACAUGCAAGUCGAGCGAACGGACGAGAAGCUUGCUUCUCUGAUGUUAGCGGCGGACGGGUGAGUAACACGUGGAUAACCUACCUAUAAGACUGGGAUAACUUCGGGAAAUCGGAGCUAAUACCGGAUAAUAUUUUGAACCGCAUGGUUCAAAAGUGAAAGACGGUCUUGCUGUCACUUAUAGAUGGAUCCGCGCUGCAUUAGCUAGUUGGUAAGGUAACGGCUUACCAAGGCAACGAUGCAUAGCCGACCUGAGAGGGUGAUCGGCCACACUGGAACUGAGACACGGUCCAGACUCCUACGGGAGGCAGCAGUAGGGAAUCUUCCGCAAUGGGCGAAAGCCUGACGGAGCAACGCCGCGUGAGUGAUGAAGGUCUUCGGAUCGUAAAACUCUGUUAUUAGGGAAGAACAUAUGUGUAAGUAACUGUGCACAUCUUGACGGUACCUAAUCAGAAAGCCACGGCUAACUACGUGCCAGCAGCCGCGGUAAUACGUAGGUGGCAAGCGUUAUCCGGAAUUAUUGGGCGUAAAGCGCGCGUAGGCGGUUUUUUAGUCUGAUGUGAAAACCCACGGCUCAACCGUGGAGGGUCAUUGGAAACUGGAAAACUUGAGUGCAGAAGAGGAAAGUGGAAUUCCAUGUGUAGCGGUGAAAUGCGCAGAGAUAUGGAGGAACACCAGUGGCGAAGGCGACUUUCUGGUCUGUAACUGACGCUGAUGUGCGAAAGCGUGGGGAUCAAACAGGAUUAGAUACCCUGGUAGUCCACGCGGUAAACGAUGAGUGCUAAGUGUUAGGGGGUUUCCGCCCCUUAGUGCUGCAGCUAACGCAUUAAGCACUCCGCCUGGGGAGUACGACCGCAAGGUUGAAACUCAAAGGAAUUGACGGGGACCCGCACAAGCGGUGGAGCAUGUGGUUUAAUUCGAAGCAACGCGAAGAACCUUACCAAAUCUUGACAUCCUUUGACAACUCUAGAGAUAGAGCUUUCCCCUUCGGGGGACAAAGUGACAGGUGGUGCAUGGUUGUCGUCAGCUCGUGUCGUGAGAUGUUGGGUUAAGUCCCGCAACGAGCGCAACCCUUAAGCUUAGUUGCCAUCAUUAAGUUGGGCACUCUAAGUUGACUGCCGGUGACAAACCGGAGGAAGGUGGGGAUGACGUCAAAUCAUCAUGCCCCUUAUGAUUUGGGCUACACACGUGCUACAAUGGACAAUACAAAGGGCAGCGAAACCGUGAGGUCAAGCAAAUCCCAUAAAGUUGUUCUCAGUUCGGAUUGUAGUCUGCAACUCGACUACAUGAAGCUGGAAUCGCUAGUAAUCGUAGAUCAGCAUGCUACGGUGAAUACGUUCCCGGGUCU